AAUGAACGUUGGCGGCGUGGAUUAGGCAUGCAAGUCGUGCGGCAGUCCUCCGUAAGGGGGACGAGAGCGGCGAAAGGGAGAGUAACGCGUGGAUUACCAACCCUCAGGACAGGGAUAGCCACGGGAAACUGUGGGUAAUACCUGAUAACGUCUCCGGACCAAAGGUGUGAGUCCGCCUGGGGACGGGUCCGCGUCCUAUUAGCUAGUUGGUGGGGUAAUGGCCUACCAAGGCGAUGAUGGGUACGGGGUGUGAGAGCAUGCCCCCGUUCACUGGGACUGAGACACUGCCCAGACACCUACGGGAGGCUG
rnacentral:rRNA from 1 species